rnacentral:tRNA from 1 species
GCCCGGGUGGCGGAAUUGGUAGACGCGCACGGUUCAGGUCCGUGUAUCGCAAGGUGUGGAGAUUCGAGUUCUCUCCCGGGCACCA